GGACAGGUGAUCUGUGUCCUUUCUUCUUCUCCUUCCUUCCACUCUUCCAGGCUUGUCUUCUUCUUCUUCUUUUUUGUCUUUAACUGUUUUCAGGUAACACUGCACUGAGAAAAACCUAAUUUAAACACAACAUCUUCUAAUUCAUAAUAGGCACAAUUUACACUUUUAGGAUUGGCAUUAGGAAUUUCAUAUUUAUUCUUUUCUUUGUGGUAUUUCUGCUGUUUCAUAUUUAUAAGCAUCCGGUUUAACCGGUAUGUGUAACACCCCAGUUCUGACAUGCGACCUCCUAGGCCCAGAUAUAGUGAGCGUGUCACUUACAAAAGCGACUCAGUGGUAUAGUGAUAUUUAUCUCUUAGUUCAUGGGUUCGAAUCCCGGAAGGCUUCCACUUUGUGGAGAAUAAAAUACUGAAAUGAGUAUUUAAGCUUGUGGAUGGCACGCUCUAUAUAUUUCUGGACUGGCUGGGAAGUUGCAUAUCAAAACUGGGAUGUUAUAGCAUACAUUGAACAACUGGUUGAACUACUAUAUCACUAUUCUACUUAGCGGGUUGAUGACUGGUAUGAUAUUAAUAAUGGGUAGAAGGGCCUGACUUGUGUUUUUUAUGUACCAACAAAAAGGAAACCUUACGAGCUUCCUAGGAGUGAAAAAGAAGAAGAGAUGAAUGCACCAGAUCGUUAUGAGCUUUUGUCGUCCCUGAAGGCACCAAAAAGUAACUAUUAUUAUUAUUCUCUGUUUUUAUGAUUUACACCCAAUUUUUACACCCCUACUAAUAAGGGUGUCCCUACCUUUUGCGUAAUGAAAUACUCCUUCCCAA
rnacentral:lncRNA from 1 species